rnacentral:rRNA from 1 species
GACGAACGCUGGCGGCGUGCUUAACACAUGCAAGUCGAACGGUAAGGCCCUUCGGGGUACACGAGUGGCGAACGGGUGAGUAACACGUGGGUGAUCUGCCCUGCACUUCGGGAUAAGCCUGGGAAACUGGGUCUAAUACCGGAUAGGACUCCGGACUGCAUGGUCUGGGGUGGAAAGCUUUUGCGGUGUGGGAUGGGCCCGCGGCCUAUCAGCUUGUUGGUGGGGUGAUGGCCUACCAAGGCGACGAUGCGUAGCCGACCUGAGAGGGUGACCGGCCACACUGGGACUGAGAUACGGCCCAGACUCCUACGGGAGGCAGCAGUGGGGAAUAUUGCACAAUGGGCGCAAGCCUGAUGCAGCGACGCCGCGUGAGGGAUGACGGCCUUCGGGUUGUAAACCUCUUUCAGCACCGACGAAGCGCAAGUGACGGUAGGUGCAGAAGAAGGACCGGCCAACUACGUGCCAGCCGCCGCCGUAA